AACGCACAUUGCGCCCCGUGAAAUUCCGCGGGGCAUGCCUGUUCGAGCGUCAUUACACCACUCAAGCCUCGCUUGGUAUUGGGCGACGCGGUCAAUCCGCGCGCCUCAAAUCUUCCGGCUGGUUCGAAUCGUCCCUCAGCGUUGUGGAAACUAUUCGCUAAAGGUGCGCGUUUCGGUCACGCCGUAAAACAAACCCAUUCAUUAAAGGUUGACCUCGGAUCAGGUAGGGAUACCCGCUGAACUUAA
rnacentral:misc_RNA from 1 species